UACGUAGGGGGCAAGCGUUGUCCGGAAUCAUUGGGCGUUAAAGGCGCGCGUAGGCGGCCCGGUAAGUCCGCUGUAAAAGUCCAGGGGCUCAACCCCUGGAAAGCCGGUGGAUACUGUCGGGCUAGAGUCCGGAAGAGGCGAGUGAAAUUCCUGGUGUAGCGGUGGAAUGCGCAGAGUAUCAAGGAGGAACACCGAUGGCGAAGGCAGCUCGCUGGGACGGUACUGACGCUGAGGCGCGAAAGCGUGGGGAGCGAACAG
rnacentral:rRNA from 1 species